rnacentral:rRNA from 1 species
CAGGUACGAAAGUAGAGCAUAGUGUUCGGUGGUUCCGCAUGGAAGGGCCAUCGCUCAAGGAUAAAGGUACGCCGGGGAUAACAGGCUGAUCUCCCCCAAGAGCUCAUAUCGACGGGGGGGGUUUGGGCACCUCGAUGUCGGCUCGUCACAUCCUGGGGCUGGAGAAGGUCCCAAGGGUUCGGCUGUUCGCCGAUUAAAGUGGCACGUGAACUGGGUUCAGAACGUCGCAAGACAGUUCGGUCCCUAUCUGUGGUGGGCGCUAGUAAAUUGAGAGGACGUGACCUUAGUACGAGAGGACCGGGUCGCACGUACCGCUGGUGUAUCUGUUAUGCCGCCAGGUGUAAUGCAGAGUAGCUAUGUACGGCAUGGAUAAACGCUGAAAGCAU